rnacentral:rRNA from 1 species
UACGUAGGGUGCAAGCGUUGUCCGGAAUUAUUGGGCGUAAAGAGCUCGUAGGCGGCUUGUCACGUCGACUGUGAAAACCCGGGGCUCAACUCCGGGCCUGCAGUCGAUACGGGCUGGCUUGAGUGCGGUAGGGGAGACUGGAAUUCCUGGUGUAGCGGUGAAAUGCGCAGAUAUCAGGAGGAACACCGGAGGCGAAGGCGGUCUCUGGG